rnacentral:rRNA from 1 species
UACGGGGGGGGCAAGCGUUGUUCGGAAUUACUGGGCGUAAAGGGCUCGUAGGCGGCCAACUAAGUCAGACGUGAAAUCCCUCGGCUUAACCGGGGAACUGCGUCUGAUACUGGAUGGCUUGAGAUUGGGAGAGGGAUGCGGAAUUCCAGGUGUAGCAGUGAAAUGCGUAGAGAUGUGGAGGAAUACCGAUGGCGAAGGCAGCCCCCUGGGGUGACACUGACGCUCAUGCACGAAAGCGUGGGGAGCAAACAGG